rnacentral:rRNA from 1 species
AUUGACCGCUAGCGGGAUGCCUAAUACACGCAAGUCGAACGAGUGGCGCACGGGUGAGUAAUGUAUCGGAACGUGCCCAGUACCGGGGGAUAACUACGCGAAAUGUAGCUAAUACCGCAUACUCUUGGAGCGGCCGAGAUCGGAUUAGCUCGUGGGUGGGGUAACGGCGCACCAAGGCGACGUCCCGUAGCUGGUUUGAGAGGACGACCAGCCACGCUGGGACACAGACAGGGCCCUGACGCCUACGAGACGCAGCAGUGGGGAAUUUUGGUCAAUGGAGGCAUCCCUGAUCCAGCCAUCCCGCGUGUUGGAUGGAAGCCUUCGGGUUGUAGAGCGCGUUUGGAAGGCAGGCGGUACCUGCAGAGUAAGCACCGGCUGACUACGUGACAGCAGCCGCGGUAAUUC